UACAGAGGGUGCGAGCGUUGUUCGGAAUUAUUGGGCGUAAAGCGCUUGUAGGCGGCACGUCAAGUCGCGUGUGAAAUCCCCAGGCUUAACCUGGGAAGUGCGCGCGAAACUGACGAGCUUGAGUGCCGGAGAGGGUCGCGGAAUUCCCGGUGUAGAGGUGAAAUUCGUAGAUAUCGGGAGGAACACCAGUGGCGAAGGCGGCGACCUGGACGGACACUGACGCUGAGACGCGAAAGCGUGGGGGAGCAAAC
rnacentral:rRNA from 1 species